rnacentral:rRNA from 1 species
GACGAACGCUGGCGGCGUGCUUAAUACAUGCAAGUCAACUUGACUUUAGAUAGCAAUAUCGAAAAGUAGGGUGGCGCACGGGUGCGUAACGCGUAGGUAAUCUGCCCUGAGGUCUGACAUAACCCGUCGAAAGGCGGCUAACAUCAGAUGAUAUAUAAUCACGACAUCGUGGAAAAUAUCAAAUCUUCGGAGCCUUGGGAUGAGCCUGCGUCUGAUUAGGUAGUUGGCGGAGUAAUAGCCCACCAAGCCUACGAUCAGUAGCUGGUCUGAGAGGAUGAUCAGCCACACUGGAACUGAGACACGGUCCAGACUCCUACGGGAGGCAGCAGUAAGGAAUAUUGCCUCAAUGGGGGAAACCCGUACGAAGACAGCAACGACCGCGUGAAGG